AACGAACGCUGGCGGCAUGCCUAACACAUGCAAGUCGAACGAGACCUUCGGGUCUAGUGGCGCACGGGUGCGUAACGCGUGGGAACCUGCCCUUAGGUUCGGAAUAACUCCCCGAAAGGGGUGCUAAUACCGGAUAAUGUCUUCGGACCAAAGAUUUAUCGCCUUUGGAUGGGCCCGCGUUGGAUUAGCUAGUUGGUAGGGUAAAAGCCUACUAAGGCGACGAUCCAUAGCUGGUCUGAGAGGAUGAUCAGCCACACUGGGACUGAGACACGGCCCAGACUCCUACGGGAGGCAGCAGUGGGUAAUAUUGGACAAUAGGCGAAAGCCUGAUCCAGCAAUGCCGCGUGAGUGAUGAAGGCCUUAGGGUUGUAAAGCUCUUUUACCCGGGAUGAUAAUGACAGUACCGGGAGAAUAAGCUCCGGCUAACUCCGUG
rnacentral:rRNA from 1 species